GCACCUGUAGCUCAAUGGAUAGAGCUUUUGACUACGGAUCAAAAGGUUGGGGGUUCGACUCCCUCCAGGUGCG
rnacentral:tRNA from 1 species